AAAUUCACGGCGCAUGUAUUUGUGCAUGGUGCUUAGAGAGGGCAUCACGUGACUAAAAACGACCAAUGACCUCACUUCGGACUUCGGCGCUUCGGCCAUCUUGGCAUGCAUCUGCAUCUUGGCCUUGGCCACCUUGCCGUGCGUGAUCGUUGUUUGUUAUUAUUUGUGCUUUUUAAGAAUAUUUUUUUAAUUCGGAUACUUUUAUAAUACCUUUAAUAGUAUUAUUAACAUAGUGCAUAAAAUCAGUUGGAGUAGCAGAAGCAAUGUAGAUAAAAAAUCUGCAGGAAUAACGUUUCAAAGCUUUCCAGAAGAUCCUGCGAAGAAGGCAUGAAGUAUAGAUCAGAUUUGUUAAUAGAGCAGUAUGUUCAAAACAUUUUUUAGAAAAAGAUAUUGACAGAACUUCACUUUCAACUGUUUGUUUGAGAGACUGUGCUGUUCCAAUAGCUUAUAUCACACAGGUAAUAUGCUUAACCCAA
rnacentral:lncRNA from 1 species